CCUACGGGAGGCUGCAGUAGGGAAUCUUCCACAAUGGGCGAAAGCCUGAUGGAGCAACGCCGCGUGGGUGAAGAAGGUCUUCGGAUCGUAAAACCCUGUUGUUAGAGAAGAAAGUGCGUGAGAGUAACUGUUCACGUUUCGACGGUAUCUAACCAGAAAGCCACGGCUAACUACGUGCCAGCAGCCGCGGUAAUACGUAGGUGGCAAGCGUUAUCCGGAUUUAUUGGGCGUAAAGGGAACGCAGGCGGUCUUGUAAGUCUGAUGUGAAAGCCUUCGGCUUAACCGGAGUAGUGCAUUGGAAACUGGGAGACUGGAGUGCAGAAGAGGAGAGUGGAAUUCCAUGUGUAGCGGUGAAAUGCGUAGAUAUAAGGAAGAACACCAGUGGCGAAAGCGGCUCUCUGGUCUGUAACUGACGCUGAGGUUCGAAAGCGUGGGUAGCAAACAGGAUUAGAUACCCUAGUAGUC
rnacentral:rRNA from 1 species